UGAUCACAUCCUUCAAUUUUCCAAGAGAAGCGAACCUUCUAUAUGACUCAGCCUAUGAAACUACUCUAAUUAUACCAAAGGAAUAAUCUGCUUCCAACUUGUGUCAAGCUACAAAUGAGGAGGAAGUCUUCAAAAUUCUAAAUGAAAGAUCCCUUUAUCCUAUAGGAUGGAUUCAUGCAUUUUUUGUCAGGGGAAAUUCCUAUAGAGAAAGAGUUACCACUCUAACAUACCUAGACGAGAAUGAAGGCAGGGAGUGAAAGUGUUGGUACUGGCUGCCUCACCUUUUCAGAUCCAAAGAUUUCUAAUGAAGAGGUUAAGCAUGUUAAGCAUGGAUGAAGUGUAAAACUCCAAAGAUUGAAGAGGUUAAGCAUGUUAAGCAGAUUUCUUAUGAUAUUGUUAUCUCAAUUUUUAUCCUUAAGUUGUUUGUGUAAAUAUAUAAUGUUCUUUAAUUGUGUUAGUAAUUUGAAUUCACUUUUCCAAAUACUUAUUUUUAUGUAUUUAUUAUAUAUUGUAUACAUGUAUU